CGAUGACUCGGGGAUAGCCUUUCGAAAGAAAGAUUAAUACCCGAUGGCAUAGUUCUUCCGCAUGGUGGAACUAUUAAAGAAUUUCGGUCAUCGAUGGGGAUGCGUUCCAUUAGGUUGUUGGCGGGGUAACGGCCCACCAAGCCUUCGAUGGAUAGGGGUUCUGAGAGGAAGGUCCCCCCACAUCGGAACUGAGACACGGUCCAAACUCCUACGGGAGGCAGCAUG
rnacentral:rRNA from 1 species